rnacentral:rRNA from 1 species
CCUACGGGGGGCUGCAGUGGGGAAUAUUGGACAAUGGGCGGAAGCCUGAUCCAGCAACGCCGCGUGAGGGAUGACGGCCUUCGGGUUGUAAACCUCUUUCAGCGGGGACGCGGUACCCGCAGAAGAAGCACCGGCCAACUACGUGCCAGCAGCCGCGGUAAUACGUAGGGUGCGAGCGUUGUCCGGAAUUAUUGGGCGUAAAGGGCUCGUAGGCGGUUUGUCGCGUCGGGAGUGAAAACACCGGGCUUAACUCGGUGCUUGCUUUCGAUACGGGCAGACUAGAGGUAUGCAGGGGAGAACGGAAUUCCUGGUGUAGCGGUGAAAUGCGCAGAUAUCAGGAGGAACACCGGUGGCGAAGGCGGUUCUCUGGGCAUUCCUGACGCUGAGGAGCGAAAGUGUGGGGAGCGAACAGGAUUAGAUACCCUUGUAGUC